UGCCAGUGAUAAACUGGAGGAAGGUGGGGAUGACGUCAAGUCAUCAUGGCCCUUACGACCAGGGCUACACACGUGCUACAAUGGCGCAUACAAAGAGAAGCGACCUCGCGAGAGCAAGCGGACCUCAUAAAGUGCGUCGUAGUCCGGAUUGGAGUCUGCAACUCGACUCCAUGAAGUCGGAAUCGCUAGUAAUCGUGGAUCAGAAUGCCACGGUGAAUACGUUCCCGGGCCUUGUACACACCGCCCGUCACACCAUGGGAGUGGGUUGCAAAAGAAGUAGGUAGCUUAACCUUCGGGAGGGCGCUUACCACUUUGUGAUUCAUGACUGGGGUGAAGUCGUAA
rnacentral:rRNA from 1 species